rfam:Rattus norvegicus chromosome 5, whole genome shotgun sequence.
GGAGAUUUAGCUCAAUGGUAGAGCACUUGCCUAGGAAGCGCAAGGCCCUGGGUUCGGUCCCCAGCUCCG